ACAAUGAAGAGUUUGAUCCUGGCUCAGGAUGAACGCUAGCGGCAGGCCUAACACAUGCAAGUCGAGGGGUAGCGGGGUAGCAAUACCGCCGACGACCGGCGCACGG
rnacentral:rRNA from 1 species